rnacentral:rRNA from 1 species
UAUCUGGUAUACGUACCUGGCCCGCAGCCUUUAGGCUUGUGUGUGCCGGCGCACGUUUGCCAUCUUUCUAGAAAACGGGUCUGCCAUUAACUUGGUGGGUUCGGGAUCUAGAUCAUUUACUUUGAAAAAAUUAGAGUGUUUAAAGCAAGCAAUUGCUCUGAAUACAUUAGCAUGGAAUAAUAAUCUAGGACUUCGGUUCUAUUUUGUUGGUUUCUAAAACUGAAGUAAUGAUUGAUAGGGACAGUUGGGGGUGCUAGUAUUGGCCGGCCAGAGGUGAAAUUCUUGGAUUCGGUCAAGACUAACUUAUGCGAAAGCAUUCACCAAGGAUGUCUUCUUUAAUCAAGAACGAAAGUUGGGGGAUCGAAGACGAUCAGAUACCGUCGUAGUCUCAACCAUAAACUAUGCCAACUAGGGAUGGGUGAACGUUGCUUUUUUCGACUUCAUCCGCACCUUAUGAGAAAUCAAAGUCUUUGGGUUCCGGGGGGAGUAUGGUCGCAAGGCUGAAACUUAAAGGAAUUGACGGAAGGGC